rnacentral:misc_RNA from 1 species
GAUGAAGAACGUAGCAAAAUGCGAUAAGUAAUGUGAAUUGCAGAAUUCAGUGAAUCAUCGAAUCUUUGAACGCACAUUGCGCCCGCCAGUAUUCUGGCGGGCAUGCCUGUUCGAGCGUCAUUUCAACCCUCAAGCCCUCGGGUUUGGUGUUGGGGAUCGGCGAGCCUUUCUGGCAAGCCGGCCCCGAAAUCUAGUGGCGGUCUCGCUGCAGCCUCCAUUGCGUAGUAGUAAAACCCUCGCAACUGGAACGCGGCGCGGCCAAGCCGUUAAACCCCCAACUUCUGAAUGUUGACCUCGGAUCAGGUAGGAAUACCCGCUGAACUUAAGCAUAUCAAUAAGCGGAGG